rnacentral:rRNA from 1 species
AGAGUUUGAUCAUGGCUCAGAAUCAACGCUGGCGGCGUGCCUAACACAUGCAAGUCGAACGAGAAAGUGGGGGCAACCCUGCGAGUACAGUGGCAGACGGGUGAGUAACACGUGAACAACCUACCCUCGAGUGGGGAAUAACACCGCGAAAGCGGUGCUAAUACCGCAUAACAUUCCAUUGUUGCAUGACGGUGGGAUCAAAAGCGCAAGCUGCUUGAGGAGGGGUUCGCGGCUGAUUAGCUAGUUGGUGAGGUAACGGCCCACCAAGGCGACGAUCAGUAGCCGGCCUGAGAGGGUGAACGGCCACACUGGAACUGAGACACGGUCCAGACUCCUACGGGAGGCAGCAGUGGGGAAUUUUGCGCAAUGGGCGAAAGCCUGACGCAGCAACGCCGCGUGGAGGAUGAAGGCCUUCGGGUCGUAAACUCCUGUCGAUGGGGACGAAAGCCCUGAGAAGGGAUUGACUGUACCCGUUGAGGAAGCCACGGCUAACUCCGUGCCAGCAGCCGCGGUAAUACGGAGGUGGCAAGCGUUGUUCGGAAUUACUGGGCGUAAAGGGCGCGUAGGCGGCGAAGCAAGUCAGAUGUGAAAGCCCCGGGCUUAACUCGGGAAUUGCAUCUGAAACUGUUUUGCUUGAGUCCUGGAGGGGGUAGUGGAAUUCCCAGUGUAGCGGUGAAAUGCGUAGAUAUUGGGAGGAACACCUGCGGCGAAGGCGGCUACCUGGACAGUGACUGACGCUGAUGCGCGAAAGCUAGGGGAGCGAACGGGAUUAGAUACCCCGGUAGUCCUAGCUGUAAACGAUGGGCACUUGGUGUUGGGGGUAUUGAGUCCCUCGGUGCCGGAGUUAACACGUUAAGUGCCCCGCCUGGGGAGUACGGUCGCAAGACUGAAACUCAAAUGAAUUGACGG